UGUAGAAGAAAAAAAAAAUACUACAGAAGUCAAUGGUGCCAAAGUUCUAAUACAACUUACAAUAAAACAAUUACAACUUGAGGGUGAGAUAAAUGAUGACAGAAUUUUCAUUUUUGGGUUGAGUAUAUCCCUUUAAAUAGUGCACUGUUUGCGGGGAAAGACAUUUGCAGUGGUAUCCGAAACCUUAGUGGACAUUAUUGAGUGCAGUCAUUACAUCCCAUAAUAGACCUCAAUAACGAGUAUACGACUGAUGUACUCUGAACGUGUAGCUGCUACAGAAUAUGUAUGCACUGUGAGCAUCACGCUGAAUGAUUUCUCACUCGUUUUCAUUAACUUGCUACCAUUAAGCCCUUGACAUCUUUUUACCCACCUGGUAAAAUUUAGAUUAGCAAUAUCACGCGUCUCCUCAACACACAAUUUUAGUUAGCAUUCAUGUCCACAGCAAAAGUGGUGCAGAUAUAAUAAGUAAACAAUAGUGUGCCAUGCAGUCAGCUUUUAAAUUAAGCCUGACAGGGUGAUCAGGAUUUUGAUCUGAAUCUUUAAAAUGCUACUUAAUAAAUGGACAUGAAAUACUGAUUCAAAUAGACUUAAUACUAACAUAUAUUGGUGUGCGUCACGCAAAAAUCAGAAGUUAUUAUUCACAGGCAUGUUUUUCACCCAGUAGUUUAUUCUGCAACCUAGAAGCAUCCCGUAAUAGGGAAGUGUGUAGCAUGUGAUUUCAACAUGGCAGCCACCAUGAGGAUGGACCACCCUUAUGUACUGUAGGAUUAUUAGGCCAAUGGUAUUACUGGAAUAUUCACUUGAUGUGAGUGGAAAUCAUUUAAAAUAUUUUGAUGAUGAUAAAGUGAGUAGUAUUUGGUUAGUCAUAUGAUUUCAACAGUUGAGUUCAAAUUGGUGAGAAAGUGAUACGAAUGACAACUAGCACAGUGUCAUUAUACAAAAAUGUUUGACAGAUAUUUGCUGAAGGUAUUUUAAGCAAAAAUUCGGCGAAGGGGUUCAAGUAAUAGCAGUAGCAAUGCUAGCAUUAGCGAACACCGCUAAUAAGAGUUUCAGGGGGAAAUCGAACUUUCUGUUUUUGAUUACUGAUGCUAUGUGUAUCAUGUGUUAUCAGCUUGUAUCAUGUUGCCACAGAGGAAGUAUGUGUGGGACGCUGCAUAAAGGUGUGUUAGCAUGAAGUGAAAAUGGCUGGAAUUGGGUGUAUGUUGUGGUGUGUGGUGGGCCUGAUUGUCUGCGCCAAUGGUCAGGUUGUUUUAAUCCAUUCUCUCUUCCCCACAACACACUGAUGGGAACCACCCCAGACAGAGAAGAUCUCUCAGGACAGGGAGAGGUUUGCGGACGAGGACAGCAUUUUCUACACACUGGGGGAGUGUGGACUCAUCUCUUUCUCUGACUACAUCUUCCUCACAACCGUCCUUUCCACUCCUCAGAGGAACUUUGAAAUUGCUUUCAAGAUGUUUGACUUGAAUGGAGACGGAGAAGUCGACCUUGAGGAGUUUGAGCAAGUA